rnacentral:rRNA from 1 species
AUACGGAGGAUCCGAGCGUUAUCCGGAUUUAUUGGGUUUAAAGGGAGCGUAGGUGGAUUGUUAAGUCAGUUGUGAAAGUUUGCGGCUCAACCGUAAAAUUGCAGUUGAAACUGGCAGUCUUGAGUACAGUAGAGGUGGGCGGAAUUCGUGGUGUAGCGGUGAAAUGCUUAGAUAUCACGAAGAACUCCGAUUGCGAAGGCAGCUCACUAGACUGUUACUGACACUGAUGCUCGAAAGUGUGGGUAUCAAACAGGAUUAGAUACCCUGGUAGGCCACACAGUAAACGAUGAAUACUCGCUGUUUGCGAUAUACAGUAAGCGGCCAAGCGAAAGCAUUAAGUAUUCCACCUGGGGAGUACGCCGGCAACGGUGAAACUCAAAGGAAUUGACGGGG